UACCAGCACCCCGAGUGGUCGGGACGAUUAUUGGGCCUAAAGCAUCCGUAGCCGGCCUUACAAGUCCUCCGUUAAAUCCAGCUGCUUAACAGAUGGGCUGCGGAGGAUACUAUAGAGCUAGGAGGCGGGAGAGGCAAGCGGUACUCGAUGGGUAGGGGUAAAAUCCGUUGAUCCAUUGAAGACCACCAGUGGCGAAGGCGGCUUGCCAGAACGCGCUCGACGGUGAGGGAUGAAAGCUGGGGGAGCAAACCGGG
rnacentral:rRNA from 1 species